GGCAGACUUGACGCAGGGCUUAUUUUAACUACGUCUCUACCGGAAGUAGCUCGCACUAUAAAUUUGUCGUCAGUUCCUGCAUCUUCCUCUCUUAACCAUGCGGUGCAGAGUUUCAGACGCGGUUUCAACAUGUUAUCUCCUCUUAAUGCAGGCAAAGUGGUCUGGAGGUGCUGCUGAUGAUGGAGGCAGAUGUGCUCAAGGUCUCAUCUGAGAGCAGCCUGGACAUCCAGGUGGAGUAGCAUGUCUCCAAGAGGAGGAGUGAUGAUGUGUAAAUUAUGACCCUGACUGUCAGCAGCCAUCGAGAAUCCAUUUGAUGUGUUUGCCCUUUCCACCAGGAACACAGGACAGAUGGAGAAGGGGGGGAAAGCCACUUGGCAAGGAGGAUUACCAAGACAGGUGAACCAUCCCAGCAGACAGGUCUGAGGAUGUUCAGGUGCCCUCUGUGCCCAUCCAGCAGAUCCAGAAUGGCAUCGAAGAGGGUUGGAGUGUCCAGACUGCCACCGAAGACUGGUCUACAGCUCCCACUGCACAGGACUGCGGUGAUCCUAGUUUUGACUGGUCCAAAGUCAUGCAAAUCUAAACAUGAGAAAUGCAUAACUCUAUGAACUGAAAUCAAUAAAGCUGGUUAUUCAUGAAACUG